GGUUGCGCCGGUAGAGGAAGGCGAAGGCGGGCUGAGCCCAGCGCCGGGAGGGGUGGUCUAAACCCCUCCGCCGCGUUAGGAUCGAUAAAGCCGGCGGCGGAAAUUUGAAGGAGGAAACGGGCCUGAGUCAUGGUGGCUCCACCGAGUUAUCGUCUUCUUGUGGUGCCCGAUUUCUACGUGGCUACACUCUGUCUGGAUUCCUUGUAACUGAAAGAGACGAAGACCACUUUGAAGCUUUCUGGUCUCCCAUGUCAGAGUCAGAAGUGGAGAACUGAUCAGCAAGAUUCUGGUGGCUUGUAAUUAGCAUUUCAAGGGCCAAAUGGUUCCUCAGCUAUAGAGCCAAGUUACCUAACUGACUUCCACAAGAUCAAACUGGUUUAUGGGAUGCAGGAUAAUGGAGCAUGCUCUUUCUGGAACAUUGCUAGUCUUACAACAGAGGGAGAAGACAG